AAAAAAAAAUCAGAAAUUUACACAUUACCAUAAACCAUGUUUUCCUUCAAAAUAAAAUUAUUUUGUCAAAACUGAGAGAAUCCAUUUACCUAUAAUAAUGUGAAAUCACAAUUUUCAAAUAAAAAAAGUAAAAUUAAAUUUGAUGAAGAUUCGUCUGUAAAUAGUUUAAGUUAUUAUUUGUACUGAUAUAAUGAUAGCUUUUGUUUGAAAUAAAUUUUAGUCAUUUGAAAUAUUUGCAACCAGAUAUUUUUAUAAACUCACAAAUGAACAAUGUUUCAUCCAAAUGUAGUAUAUAAAUGCAAAAAAACUAAUUUUAAGAAAUACAAUAUCUAAAUGUUUUUUUAACUGUAUAAUAUCAAAAUUGUAUCUAGAAAUUACAUCCAAAUGCUAAAUCUGGAUAUAUAAACGGAAAAGCCAGUAAGAAGUCUCUAAUUUAUAUUGAUUCAUUUUUAUCCCCAAAUCUUAUUGACAGGAUUAGAUUAAUCCAAUCAUUUACUAGCUUGGUAGAUCAUUUUAAAGAGAUUAAAUCAAGUUUGAAAUCUAGGUUAACAUAUACAGCACCAUCCUAGUAUAAAUGUAAAACUUCCAAAUUUAUUUCUCUACCAAUUUUAAGAAUUUAAAUGUUGAAUUAUUGCCUAAAUAGAUUUGGAGCAACAUCCCUGCCAAAUUUAAUGAAAAAUGAUAAAUUUGUUAUGAAAUGUUAAGUCCAUGGAAAUUUCUUCGCAAAUCUGCGAAGAAACUAUCGUCACAACUCUUUUGUGAUUUUGAGAUUUAAAAAAAAAAACAGCAUAUUUUUUAGGAAAAAGGCUGUGCAUGUAAGCUUCGUCAUAUGAAGAAAAAGUUGAUAAAAAUAACAAAGACAAUGAUUUAUAUAGUGGACUCCUAAGAAAAUAAAAGUUAAAAAAGAAAACUAAAAUACAAAAAAGCUUAUACAAUUUCUCCAGGACCAUCUAAUAGUAUGAGCAAGUAGAGUGGUUGAAAAGGAUCUGAACAUAAAAAUAUUAAAAAUGUAUAACGUUUUUUUGAAAUAAAUAUAUAAAUUAUGGUUUAAUACUUUAAAAUUUUAGUUAUAAUAUUAAAUUUAGAGCUUAUAAAACUAAAAUAUACGUCAAAUAUAUAUAAAUAAAGUUGUAAACUUUUAAAACUACUCUAUUAUAUCGUUAAAUAUACUGUUAAAAACAUUUUGGACAUGGUUCAUAAAUAAUUUAAGACGCUAGAAUGAUUUUUAAAACUUUUUUUUCUUGAACUUUGGAUUUUCAAAACUUAAACGAACAAGAACUCACAAGACUCCAGUUACAAAAAAAAAAAGAACUCACAAGACUCUCCCAAAAUGAUAAAGAUAAAAACCAACAACUCAGAAGACUCACGGACGCAAAAAUCUUCAAGAAGACAAAAUACUUUCAAGAAUACAAAGAUUCAUGAUCAAGAAGAGCAAUGAGAAAUGAUUGUCAAUUAAGCAAGAUGAAGACAAGACUAACAACAAAAUUUUCUUCCAAGUGAAGUGAAUGAUCAAUUAUGCAAAAACUACUCGACACAUGCAACAUCCACAUUCAAGACAUGCAUCCCUCAUUCAGGAUUACUCAAGACACGUCGAAAGUUCUCAUGCAAGACUAAAAGAGUCAACAACUAUAGAAAGUUAGCAGAGGGUAAUAAUGUUCUCUUUAGUUCAUUUUCUUCUGGUAUAUUCAAGUAAAUAUUAAUAACUCAUUUUUCAUCAUUCAAUUGUUUCAGUGUCUUAAUUUACAUUUUUUUAUUGUUGAUUUAAUAUAUGGAUAAUUAAUAAUUAUUACUUAACGUUGGAUUUAAUAAAUAAAUCCUUCAUUUUAUAGGAAAUAUCAUCUAUAUAUAUAUAUAUAUAUAUUUGGUGAAUCUUUCGAAUACUUUUGUAUAACUUUUAACAGAUUACAAGUCUAGUGAGUCAGUCACUGAGUACCAUUACGAAUACCAAAAUGAAGAUUCAAAUAACUUGAUUGUACACUAAAAAAUACCAUGAAUAUCAGUACAUUGGAAGGAUAGGUAGGUUCGAAUGUGGUAGAAAGUUAGGCAAAUAAAUGCACAAAGCAUAGUCCCACAUAUCAGUUGGUUUCUAAAAAGUAAAAACACAAAUAAGACAUUUAGAAUGAAAACUGUAAAAAGGAAUAUUUUUUUGUCAGCCAUUUUAUUUUAUACUCUUAAUUAAUACUUUAUUCUUCUUUCUCAAAAAGGAAUAAUGAUAUUAAUUUUCUUAACUGGAUAUUAAAAUUAUGUUUGAUUAAUAUUAUAUAAUUUUUACACGUACUUCAAAAUAUUUAAUACUAUUCAUAUCAUUUAUUUUAAUUUUCACUUUGAUUUUGAUCAUUUUAUUAAUAAUUAUAAGAGCAAAUUCACGUAAAUAUUUUAUUCAAAAGCAGAGUUAGAGCAUUUCUAACCCCACUGUAAAAAAAUUGUAAAAUAGAGUGGAAAAUGCAAUUAUGAACAAACAAAAAAAGCAUUACUCUAUAUAUGGAGUAAUAUUUUUUUUUUGUUCAUGACUGCAUUUUCUAUUUUAUUUUGCAGUUUUUUUUUUUUGCAAUGGAGUUGGAGAUGUUUUUUUGUAUUUAUUUGCAAUCUUCGAAGAAAGUACAUAAAACUAUUCUUUAUUAUAAAGUCUUCGAAUGUUUUAAUCUAUCCUGUACCACACCGCAUUUAACUUAAUAGUAACCAAAAUCUUUACAUAUACCAUAUAUUUAUACGUUUUUAUAAUUGUUAGAAUCGCACUGCAAUUGUACCGCUUGUCCCGCAUCGCAGUUGUACCGCUUAUCUCGCACCGCUCAAUCCGUUAUUACCAUUGAGCCAAAAAUUAGGAAUUGUUAAUACUAAGGGAGAAGCCAGUUAAAAAAAAUAUUAAGGGAGUAAGGGGAAUACGAUAAAAAGCAGAUAAUAUCUAAAGUACACAAACAAAAAGGAAGAAGAAGCAAUAAAGCAAAAAAGGUAAAGGUAGGAGUAGAAGUUGACACCCAACAUUGACGACAAGAUUGUUAUAGUUGCCACAAGGCAAGUAGGUAGCAAUUGUGGUGGGAAGAUGGUUUACGAUGACAUUCUAGAUUCGAUUUAGUGAGUGACAGACAGUGGUCGAAGAAUUUGAGUGUUGCUCCAAUGGUAUUUUUUUUAUUUUCUCUCUCAAUUAUUAAUAUGUUUAUUUCUGAUUUUUUUUAUUUCUAAUAACAUCCUUCUUAGGUUAUACUCACUUGUCUUAAAUUUUUUUAUUUUAACUUUAUUAAAAUAAAUAUUUAUUUUACAUAACCACAUA